GGGUGAAAUGCGUAGAGAUGCGAGAAACACAGUGGCGAAGGCGACUUUCUGUCUUAACUGACGCUGAGGCGCGAAAGCGUGGGAGCGAACAGAUAGAUACCUGUAGUCACGCGUAACGAUGAGUGCUAAGUGUAGAGGGUUUCGCCUUUAGUGCUGCAGCAAACGCAUUAAGCACUCCGCUGGGGAGUACGGUCGCAAGACUGAAACUCAAAGGAAUUGACGGGGGCCCGCACAAGCGGUGGAGCAUGUGGUUUAAUUCGAAGCAACGCGAAGAACCCUUACCAGGUCUUGACAUCCUCUGACAACCCUAGAGAUAGGGCUUCCCCUUCGGGGGCAGAGUGACAGGUGGUGCAUGGUUGUCGUCAGCUCGUGUCGUGAGAUGUUGGGUUAAGUCCCGCAACGAGCGCAACCCUUGAUCUUAGUUGCCAGCAUUCAGUUGGCCACUCUAAGGUGACUGCCGGUGACAAACCGGAGGAAGGUGGGGAUGACGUCAAAUCAUCAUGCCCCUUAUGACCUGGGCUACACACGUGCUACAAUGGGCAGAACAAAGGGCAGGGAAGCCGGGAGGUUAAGCCAAUCCCACAAAUCUGUUCUCAGUUCGGAUCCCAGUCUGCAACUGGACUGCGUGAAGCUGGAAUCGUUAGUAAUCGCGGAUCACCAUGCCGCGGUGAAUACGUUCCCGGCCCUUGUACACACCGCCCGUCACACCAGGAGAGUUUGAAACACCCGAAGUCGGUGAGGUAACCUUAG
rnacentral:rRNA from 1 species